rnacentral:tRNA from 1 species
CGGGAUGUGGCGCAGCUUGGUAGCGCAUCCGCUUUGGGAGCGGAGGGUCGCAGGUUCAAAUCCUGUCAUCCCGACC